GACGAACGCUGGCGGCGUGCUUGACACAUGCAAGUCGAACGGAGAGGCCCUGCUUUUGUGGGGUGCUCGAGUGGCGAACGGGCGAGUAACACGUGAGUAACCUGCCCUUGACUUUGGGAUAACUUCAGGAAACUGGGGCUAAUACCGGAUAGGAGCUCCUGCUGCAUGGUGGGGGUUGGAAAGUUUCGGCGGUUGGGGAUGGACUCGCGGCUUAUCAGCUUGUUGGUGGGGUAGUGGCUUACCAAGGCUUUGACGGGUAGCCGGCCUGAGAGGGUGACCGGCCACAUUGGGACUGAGAUACGGCCCAGACUCCUACGGGAGGCAGCAGUGGGGAAUAUUGCACAAUGGGCGGAAGCCUGAUGCAGCAACGCCGCGUGCGGGAUGACGGCCUUCGGGUUGUAAACCGCUUUCGCCUGUGACGAAGCGUGAGUGACGGUAAUGGGUAAAGAAGCACCGGCUAACUACGUG
rnacentral:rRNA from 1 species